CCUACGGGAGGCAGCAGUAGGGAAUAUUGCUCAAUGGGGGAAACCCUGAACCAGCAACGCCGCGUGGAGGAUGAAGGUUUUCGGAUUGUAAACUCCUUUUGUUAGAGAAGAUAAUGACGGUAUCUAACGAAUAAGCACCGGCUAACUCCGUGCCAACAGCCGCGGUAAUACGGAGGGUGCAAGCGUUACUCGGAAUCACUGGGCGUAAAGAGCGUGUAGGCGGGAUAGCAAGUCAGAUGUGAAAUCCUAUGGCUUAACCAUAGAACUGCAUUUGAAACUGUUAUUCUAGAGUAUGGGAGAGGUAGGUGGAAUUCUUGGUGUAGGGGUAAAAUCCGUAGAGAUCAAGAGGAAUACUCAUUGCGAAGGCGACCUGCUAGAACAUAACUGACGCUGAUGCGCGAAAGCGUGGGGAGCGAACAGGAUUAGAUACCCCUGUAGUC
rnacentral:rRNA from 1 species